rnacentral:rRNA from 1 species
UAAUACGUAGGGGGCAAGCGUUGUCCGGAAUUAUUGGGCGUAAAGCGCGUGUAGGCGGCUUGGUAAGUCUGGUGUGAAACCUUGGGGCUUAACCCCAAGCCUGCACUGGAUACUGCCUCGCUAGAGUCCGGGAGGGGAGAGCGGAAUUCCCAGUGUAGCGGUGGAAUGCGCAGAUAUUGGGAAGAACACCAGUGGCGAAGGCGGCUCUCUGGAACGGUACUGACGCUGAGACGCGAAAGCGUGGGGAGCGAACAGG